rnacentral:misc_RNA from 1 species
UUUUAUUCAUGAUAAUCUCAUAAUUAAUCUCUGCAUUUUGCAAGAAGAUUGAAAGUGAGCAAACAUACACAAAGACACAUAAAAGUAAUAUAUAAAAAUAGAGUACAAAAACAAUAUAUCACUAAGACUAGUUAGAUAACAUGAAGCUACAAAAGAACUUCGUCUGAUCUUCUGUAAGCCUUAUUAUUUACUAUAAUUUUCUUCUUGAAAAUGGAAAAUGCCUUUCUUUCAGCUCAACAUUAUGUUUUUCCUCAGAUAUAGUAAACUCACUUCUUAGUAAUGGUAGGGAGGAGGGGGAGAGGAGUAAACAUAGUGGGUUGGUGGUGGAGACUUGUAGACUGGAGUUGGUGGUGGUGGAGACUUG